GCCGGGAGUUGGGUGCUUGGCGCGGAGGGUGAACUCGCGGGUCUUGAGCUGCAACUAGAAGCUGCUCCUAGCAAGGGGUCGGGUGGAGAUGAAAAGACUGUGGGGAAGGGGAGGUGGUUGUAUGCCCAGAGAUAUCCCGGCGUAACUACGGAGUCCAGGCCCAGAGUGGCGGUGUGUGGCGAAGGCGCAGCAGGCCUGCGCCUGUCGGAGGACGGCAGAUCUGGACGCGACCGCGCGGGCGUGCCUGGGUCCCGCUUCCUGCCCAUCGAGGGCGACUUCCUUCGGGCUCAGCUGUGAGCUCCAGGAACUCUGCAACCUCCCGACGGGCGCCACGCUCCGGCUUGGGCCGGCCCGGGAGUUGGCGGAGCUGCGCGGCCCGGCCGGGCGGCCGGUGAGGCUUUCGAGAGGCACCGGGCUCGCUCAGCGUCCGCGCCUCUCUACCCCGCCGCGCCCCCUCCGCGCCCACGGGCCCAUUUUUUCCUAGUCUUCUGCCUCUCUUCCUUCUUCCUCCCUCCCCUCCUCCUCCACACCUUUGUCUUCUUCCUCCUCCCUCCUCCUGCUUCUCCUCCGCAGUUUGGAUCCUACGGGCCCCCUACGUGCCGCGCCCUUCGGUCCCCGGAACCGCCCGGGCUGGGGGUGCUGCUGCGCGAGACUCCCGAGGGCGAUCCAAACCGCCUAAGCAUCCCAAGCGUCCAGCACCCGCGCCUGCGUUCCUGAGUAAUCCA
rnacentral:lncRNA from 1 species